rnacentral:rRNA from 1 species
AUUGAACGCUGGCGGCAGGCUUAACACAUGCAAGUCGAGCGGAGCGAGGGUGCUUGCACCUUAGCUUAGCGGCGGACGGGUGAGUAAUGCUUAGGAAUCUGCCUAUUAGUGGGGGACAACAUUCCGAAAGGGAUGCUAAUACCGCAUACGCCCUACGGGGGAAAGCAGGGGAUCUUCGGACCUUGCGCUAAUAGAUGAGCCUAAGUCGGAUUAGCUAGUUGGUGGGGUAAAGGCCUACCAAGGCGACGAUCUGUAGCGGGUCUGAGAGGAUGAUCCGCCACACUGGGACUGAGACACGGCCCAGACUCCUACGGGAGGCAGCAGUGGGGAAUAUUGGACAAUGGGGGGAAACCCUGAUCCAGCCAUGCCGGCGUGUGUGAAAGAAAGGCCCUUUUGGUUGUAAAA